AAAUUGAAGAGUUUGAUCAUGGCUCAGAUUGAACGCUGGCGGCAGGCCUAACACAUGCAAGUCGAACGGUAACAGGAAGCAGCUUGCUGCUUCGCUGACGAGUGGCGGACGGGUGAGUAGUGUCUGGGAAACUGCCUGAUGGAGGGGGAUAACUACUGGAAACGGUAGCUAAUACCGCAUAAUGUCGCAAGACCAAAGAGGGGGACCUUCGGGCCUCUUGCCAUCGGAUGUGCCCAGAUGGGAUUAGCUUGUUGGUGGGGUAACGGCUCACCAAGGCGACGAUCCCUAGCUGGUCUGAGAGGAUGACCAGCCACACUGGAACUGAGACACGGUCC
rnacentral:rRNA from 1 species